rnacentral:rRNA from 1 species
UACGUAGGGUGCAAGCGUUAAUCGGAAUUACUGGGCGUAAAGCGUGCGCAGGCGGUUUUGUAAGUCUGACGUGAAAUCCCCGGGCUCAACCUGGGAAUUGCGUUGGAGACUGCAAGGCUGGAGUCUGGCAGAGGGGGGUAGAAUUCCACGUGUAACAGUGAAAUGCGUAGAGAUGUGGAGGAACACCGAUGGCGAAGGCAGCCCCCUGGGUCAAGACUGACGCUCAUGCACGAAAGCGUGGGGAGCAAACAGG